rnacentral:rRNA from 1 species
CCGGCACGGUGAGUAACACGUAUCCAACCUGCCGUCUACUCUUGGCCAGCCUUCUGAAGGAAGAUUAAUCCAGGAUGGCAUCAUGAGUUCACAUGUCCGCAUGAUUAAAGGUAUUUUCCGGUAGACGAUGGGGAUGCGUUCCAUUAGAUAGUAGGCGGGGUAACGGCCCACCUAGUCAACGAUGGAUAGGGGUUCUGAGAGGAAGGUCCCCCACAUUGGAACUGAGACACGGUCCAA